rnacentral:rRNA from 1 species
AGUGAACGCUGGCGGUAGGCCUAACACAUGCAAGUCGAACGGCAGCACAGUAAGAGCUUGCUCUUACGGGUGGCGAGUGGCGGACGGGUGAGGAAUACAUCGGAAUCUACUUUUUCGUGGGGGUUAACGUAGGGAAACUUACGCUAAUACCGCAUACGACCUACGGGUGAAAGCAGGGGAUCUUCGGACCUUGCGCGAUUGAAUGAGCAGAUGUCGGAUUAGCUAGUUGGCGGGGUAAAGGCCCACCAAGGCGACGAUCCGUAGCUGGUCUGAGAGGAUGAUCAGCCACACUGGAACUGAGACACGGUCCAGACUCCUACGGGAGGCAGCAGUGGGGAAUAUUGGACAAUGGGCGCAAGCCUGAUCCAGCCAUACCGCGUGGGUGAAGAAGGCCUUCGGGUUGUAAAGCCCUUUUGUUGGGAAAGAAAAGCAGCAGGUUAAUACCCCGCUGUUCUGACGGUACCCAAAGAAUAAGCACCGGCUAACUUCGUG